AUUCUAGUUCCUCCAUUCCACAAUACAUGCCUUCUAUUUGUCAAAAUAUAGAUGUAUCUAGACAUGUUUUGGUAUAUAGGUACAUCCAUUUUUGGACAAAUGGAAGUCAAGUAUUUUGGAAUGGAGGGAGUACACA
rfam:Triticum aestivum genome assembly, contig: Triticum_aestivum_CS42_TGACv1_scaffold_220910_3B